GCGCUUGUUCACUGGUGGAAGAAUUCGUUUUGCCAGCAUGAACAGCCAAAAUGUGAUUAGUGGCUUAAUAGUGACUCUCAUUUACCACGUCUAGCAUUUCCAACUGAAACUCCUGAGCUUCAUCGACAUAGGACUGGUGCUAUCUUUGGAAGCUUUUACAGAGCAAUGACAUGGCUGCCUCAUAAGCAGUAAACGAGAAACAUCUUGUGAUAAUGCCACUGGCUU
rnacentral:lncRNA from 13 species